rnacentral:lncRNA from 1 species
CCAAACACGUAAUCCCGCACCGAUACCAAUACCACCUUCCUUGCUUCCGUGGCCGGUAACGACAACUCCGCGUCCCGCUUUACCCCUUCUUCUCCCCCGUCCGCUCCACCACCCGAGCGACUCCAGACCACGAGCCCCGCCGACGAAGCCGCCGUUGCCAGCCCCCACCCGCGUGCAAGAGGGGAGCGCCCCACUUCCGACGUACCUGCCCCUCCACCCACUCGACUCGCCCGAUCGAUUCCGCCGCUCGAUUUUGACCCGGCUGCUGUUUUUUUGUCCCCCCUCGCAGAUUCAAGCCGAUCGGAGCGCGAUCCGGCGGGUCGGAGCCCAGCCAUGUCGGGGGUUUUUGGCAGGGUGUUCGGGAAGUCCAAGNNNNN